rnacentral:rRNA from 1 species
UACGGAGGAUGCGAGCGUUAUCCGGAUUUAUUGGGUUAAAGGGUGCGUAGGCGGGUGCACAAGUCAGAGGUGAAAUCCCGGAGCCUAACUCCUGAACUGCCCUUGAUACUGUGCGUCUUGAAUUCGGAUGCCGUGGGAGGAACGAGUAGUGUAGCGGUGAAAUGCAUAGAUAUUACUCAGAACACCGAUUGCGAAGGCAUCUCACGAAUCCGCGAUUGACGCUGAGGCACGAAAGCGUGGGGAUCAAACA